CAGGUGUGCCCGGCCCUUCUGCGCGGGGCGUCUUACAACGGAUAUCCUGCAAGUCAUGCUUUGUUGCAGAUUACUGCCCAGUUCUGCAAGGUCGACCUGUGCGCCAUGACGCUGGCGAACGCGACCCAGGAGGCGAUUGAUGACUGGAAAGCCGUCAUGGUCGACAUGUUGGAGAACUCAAUCGAAGUCAUCGUCAGCGCCCUCCCUCCUGGAGAUCCAGAAGAUCAUGAGGAGGAACAUAAAAGGAGGGACUCCAUCAAGAUCCAGGUGAUUCAGGAAGUCAACUUGUAGACCAGGCGAGGAGACGGCGCCGCGACGUCUCGGGGAAAGGACCGGAGAUGAAAAUGUGAUAACUGAUUGGGAAAAAUCAGUUCCUGAGUAGGAAUAAACUGGAUAGAGAUAUUAAGUUAUUGGCAUAUAUUGAGUGUAGUUAUUGGCAUAUAUUGAUCUUUUGAGUUUGUAAUUGGCGACUAUACCUUUUCAACAAAAAAGUGCUACUUAUUUGCUCUUCGGUGUUUUAGGAUUUUUGUUAGGUUAGCCUAAUUUUCAGUUGACUUUUUAGCUUUUUUUCUCUUUUUUCCUUGCAAACAAAUUUUAAAACUCAUAAUUUGUCUAUUCAUAUUCACCCAUGAUUGCUUUGUUUAGUAUAUACAUAUGGAAGAAAAUGUAAAUCUCUUCGUGGGUAUUUUGUGUAAUUUAAAUAGAAAACACUUCAAAUUCU